AACGAACGCUGGCGGCAUGCCUAACACAUGCAGGUCGAACGAGACCUUCGGGUCUAGUGGCGCACGGGUGCGUAACGCGUGGGAAUCUGCCCUUGGGUUCGGAAUAACAGUUGGAAACGACUGCUAAUACCGGAUGAUGACGUAAGUCCAAAGAUUUAUCGCCCAAGGAUGAGCCCGCGUAGGAUUAGCUAGUUGGUGAGGUAAAGGCUCACCAAGGCGACGAUCCUUAGCUGGUCUGAGAGGAUGAUCAGCCACACUGGGACUGAGACACGGCCCAGACUCCUACGGGAGGCAGCAGUGGGGAAUAUUGGACAAUGGGCGAAAGCCUGAUCCAGCAAUGCCGCGUGAGUGAUGAAGGCCUUAGGGUUGUAAAGCUCUUUUACCCGGGAUGAUAAUGACAGUACCGGGAGAAUAAGCGCCGGCUAACUCCGUG
rnacentral:rRNA from 1 species